GGCCACAGAUCUCGUGGUUGUAAUAGUCACUCUGGUUGGGCUGGUUCUUCUUGGUCUGGGCUUUGUGGCUGCAUUUAAGAGAAUGCAGUUGGAGGCUUGGCUUGCUAGAGUGAUCCGGGGGAAAAUGCCGUUACACUCAGGAGAUAGAGGAUCACAGGCAAGCCAAGGGUCAGAAUGUGGCAUAUCACUGAAAAAUCAAGAGGCAAAAUUUAAUGCAAGUGUUGGCACAUAGACCAUGCUGCCUCAGAGGAGAACAUUUUUUGAUACCUAAACACCCAGAGAAAGAGCUCCCAAGGGCGAUGCAUGUGGCCUUACCUAUUGCCUCCGUGUCAGCAGAAAUCUUUUUGCUUUUUUGUCUCUCCAGUCUUCAAAUAAAAUGUUAUUCUUCCUUUGAA